rfam:Ictidomys tridecemlineatus contig040428, whole genome shotgun sequence.
AGGGUUGUGGCUCAGUGGCAGAGUGCUUGCCUGGCAUGUACAAGAAACUGGGUUCAAUCCCCAGCACCACGU